rnacentral:rRNA from 2 species
GCCACAAACCUAGCCCAACCGAAUACAAAUUCUACAACACUAACUAGCCCCCUUUAAUAAACCAUUUUUAUAUUUUAGUAAAGGAGAUUGAAAAACUUAUUGGAGCUAUAACAAUAGUACCGCAAGGGAACAGUGAAAUACCAAAUGAAAAUUUAGAGCAAAAAAAAGUAAAGACUAUAUCUUGUACCUUUCGCAUCAUGGUUUAACUAGUCUAAUCAAGCAAAACGUAUUUAAGUUUGCCCCCCCGAAACUAAGUGAGCUACUUCAGGGCAGCUAAAAGAGCGAACCCGUCUCUGUAGCAAAAGAGUGGGACGACCCUUAAGUAGUGGUGACAGACCUAACGAACUUAGUGAUAGCUGGUUACUCAAGAAACGGAUCUAAGUCCAACCUGAACCAUAUGACCUAAAGUUUGACUAAACAACUUCUUAUUCUUCAGCGUAAUUCAAAUAAGGUACAGCCUAUUUGAAACAGGACACAACCUAAACCAAUGGAUAAAAUUAGCCCAAUCUACAAUCAAGUCGGCCUAAAAGCAGCCAUCUUUAAAAUUGCGUCAAAGCUUAAUUGUUCUCACGCCUAAUUACUAAAUUAUUACUAUAAUCCUUUAUCAAUACUGAGUAAUUCUAUAAUAUUAUAGAAAUUUUUAUGUUAAAACUAGUAACAAGAAGAAGACUCUUCUCUUAAAUGUUAGUGUCAAUCAGAAAGGACAAACCACUGAUGUUUAACACUCCCUGAGCUGAAAGUAGUAACUAUCCUAGAAAACUCUACCAUAAUUAAUGUUAACCUAACACAAGCGCAUUUUAAGAAAGAUUAAAAGAAAAAGAAGGAACUCGGCAAAUAUUAACCCCGCCUGUUUACCAAAAACAUCGCCUCUUGAAACCAAUAAGAGGUCCAGCCUGCCCAGUGACUCUGUUCAACGGCCGCGGUAUCCUAACCGUGCGAAGGUAGCGUAAUCACUUGUUCUUUAAAUGAGGACUAGUAUGAAUGGCACCACGAAGGUUAUACUGUCUCCUUUUUUUAAUCAGUGAAACUAAUCUCCCCGUGAAGAAGCGGGAAUAAAAUUAUAAGACGAGAAGACCCUAUGGAGCUUCAAACAAUAUAGCACCUACCUUAUAACACAUAAUUUUCUAAAUUAUAAUACUCUCCAGGUAACAUGACUAUAAGUUUUUGGUUGGGGUGACCACGGAGCACAAUAUAACCUCCACGUUGAAAAAACUUUAUUUUAAGCUCAGAUUCACCAAUCUAAGCAUCAACAUUUUGACAUCCAUUGACCCAAUAUUUUGAACAACGAACCAAGUUACCCUAGGGAUAACAGCGCAAUCCACUUUAAGAGCCCCUAUCGACAAGUGGGUUUACGACCUCGAUGUUGGAUCAGGGUUUCCAAGUGGUGCAGCCGCUACUA